rfam:Leersia perrieri chromosome 8, whole genome shotgun sequence.
GGGUCAAGUGACGAGGGAUAAACUGCAACACUAUGAUGGGAGCUUUGAUCCUACGAUAUAUGUAUUUAAGUCUCUGACGAUG